UGAUAUCCAGCCCAAGGACUGCAUCUUUCUCCUAUGCCUAAACACUGCUCUGGGACCUUUCUUAAUACCUUGAAUUCCUAGAGACCAAGACCCCGUCUUGUUUUAGGAAGUCCUCCCCAUCUGGUCUUAUGAUCUGAGUCCUUCUCCUGACAUAAGCACAAAGGAGGGGGAGGUGCAAUUUUCUGACUAUCCCAAGGGGCAGGAUCAUACUAUGUAACUCAGGCUGUCCUUGAACUCACUAUGUAGCCUGGGAGACUCUUAGACAAAUGGUGAUCUUUCUACUUCAGCCUCUGAAGAGCUAUGAUAACAGGGGAAGGAAUAUUAAAGAGUGGAAGGAAAUACUAAAGAGAAGAAAACUGAUAUCAUGAAGAGCUGGCUGGAUAAAGAGAAGCUCUAGACCACAUUCCCACAACUAGGCCCCCCUAUCCCUGAGGGCAGCCC